GGGUUGUGAGGUUAAGCGACUAAGCGUACACGGUGGAUGCCCUGGCAGUCAGAGGCGAUGAAGGGCGUGCUAAUCUGCGAUAAGCGCCGGUAAGGUGAUAUGAACCGUUAUAACCGGCGAUACCCGAAUGGGGAAACCCAGUGUGAUUCGUCACACUAUCAUUAACUGAAUCCAUAGGUUAAUGAGGCGAACCGGGGGAACUGAAACAUCUAAGUACCCCGAGGAAAAGAAAUCAACCGAGAUUCCCCCAGUAGCGGCGAGCGAACGGGGAGGAGCCCAGAGCCUGAAUCAGCAUGUGUGUUAGUGGAAGCGUCUGGAAAGGCGCGCGAUACAGGGUGACAGCCCCGUACACAAAAGCGUAUGUGCUGUGAGCUCGAUGAGUAGGGCGGGACACGUGGUAUCCUGUCUGAAUAUGGGGGGACCAUCCUCCAAGGCUAAAUACUCCUGACUGACCGAUAGUGAACCAGUACCGUGAGGGAAAGGCGAAAAGAACCCCGGCGAGGGGAGUGAAAAAGAACCUGAAACCGUGUACGUACAAGCAGUGGGAGCACCCUUUGGGGUGUGACUGCGUACCUUUUGUAUAAUGGGUCAGCGACUUAUAUUCUGUAGCAAGGUUAACCGAAUAGGGGAGCCGGAGGGAAACCGAGUCUUAAUUGGGCGUUAAGUUGCAGGGUAUAGACCCGAAACCCGGUGAUCUAGCCAUGGGCAGGUUGAAGGUUGGGUAACACUAACUGGAGGACCGAACCGACUAAUGUUGAAAAAUUAGCGGAUGACCUGUGGCUGGGGGUGAAAGGCCAAUCAAACCGGGAGAUAGCUGGUUCUCCCCGAAAGC
rnacentral:rRNA from 1 species